CGGCAGCACAGUGUAGCAAUACAUGGGUGGCGAGUGGCGCACGGGUGCGUAACACGUAUGCAAUUUGCCCAUAACUGGGGGAUAGCCCUCCGAAAGGAGGAUUAAUACCCCAUAACCCAGCGAGGUGGCAUCACCUUUCUGGUAAAUCUCCGGAGGUUAUGGAUGACCAUGCGUCUGAUUAGCUAGUUGGUGAGGUAACGGCUCACCAAG
rnacentral:rRNA from 1 species